CCUCCUUUCUCGCAUUCCUGGCGCGGCGGCUGCUCGGCGGAUUGCAAAGAGGCAGGUGGAGGAGCUCACCAAGUAGCCCGCCGGAGUCAAAGGCAUUCGAGGAUAGGGACAAGCCGGCGGCGCAGCCAAUGACUGGAGCGGCGGCGCGAGCUCUGUCUCCGGGGAGAAGCCGAUGGGCGACGUCAGCGAGCUCGUCUCCGUGCGUUAACCCCUCUGUGUGUUGCGGGGUGGGGAGGCAACUCCGUGAGCUCGUCUUCGUGCGGCUACCGGGGGUUUGCCCCUCAGCUCGCCGCAAACUCUAUUUCCGGGGAGAAGCGGCGUCGGCGACUCCGUGAGGGCGGCCGCCGGCGCAAGCCCAGGUCGAUUUUCGGCGGCUUCGCUCAAGGCCGACGAUUGGGCGCGUGUGGUGGCAGUU